rnacentral:sRNA from 1 species
CAUAAUGAAAAUUAUUGUACUAAGGUGGAAUCUCUGUGGUUUUUUUCAUCGGUGAAAGAGAAAAAGAGCCCCCCUGUGUGGUUUCAUUAACAGUAUCAUUCUAGCAUUGCUGUUGUAUAUUAUAUAGAGUUUAUCAGAAGAAAAAAGGACAGUGUCAUCUUGAAGGUCUUGAAGAUUAAGAAUACUCGGAUUCAUACUAGUGCUUAGUCAGAAGUGUGGAUGUAGAUGGAUUAGACUUCUCUGAAAUUGAACGGUGGGAAAUGAGAGAUGGGUAGCUAUUGGAUGAAAGUGUUUUUGGCUUGGACGAUGACUCAAGUGGAUUGUGCGAGUGGUGGUGGUAGAGUACUUGCGAAGAUGAAAUUGGGACAACCACCAGUGUCAUGUGCCCAUCCUAGCAGAAUUGGAUCCAUACUUCCAUGAAAACCUUUCUCUGUAUCUCAAUUCUAAAACAUAUACAAAUAAGCUUUCACUGCAAAAAGCUAUAUAUCGAUCCAUUCAUGUUCCCAUUUCCAAGUUCAAAUCUUUUAGAAUGAUGUGUUAUUAGCCAU